AGGCUUGCAGACAAGAGAGAGCGGGUGUGUCGAGGACAACGGAGCUAGCUUCUGUGUUUGGGUGGCUUGCAGGCAGUUUGGUUUGGCCUUGCUGGAGCUAGGAUUGGGGUGCAUGUGCAUGUGUGUGUGUGUGGGCUUUGGAAUCUUGUGGUUGUGUGUAUCUUGCAGUGGACCAUUGGGGCAGUAUGCAGGGACCUCCCGCCUAGUACUAAGUGGAAGGCCCAGGGCUCUGCGUGCAUAAAAGCUAAGUGUCCUACACAUUAUUGUAUGCUAUGUCCAGCUAGCCAUUUUGUGACCUCCCUGACCUCACUAACCAUUGUUGCCCUUCUCUUUCUCUCUCCCUUGGUAUGUGUGGAAGACAGGAGCUGUUUGACCUCGAGCAGUGGGUCGGUGGUGGAGCCCUUCCCUCACUGGUCCUCUAUCUUGUGUGCACAUCCAGGGUUUUGCUUUCUUUUCUUUUGUAUUUUGAUCUUGCUGUGUUCACGUGUGGUGUGGUUUUGGACCCGCCCCCCUCUUCAGUCUACCCCUGCUGUGGUGAGCUACAGCCCUGUUUCUCCCCACACUACCCAGCUGAGUAGUCUCUCCGGGCCCUGCCGUGGUAAGCUACAGCCCUGUUUCUCCCCACACUACCCAGCUGAGUAGUCUCUCCGGGCCCUGCCGUGGUGAGCUACAGCUCUGUUUCUCCCCACACUACCCAGCUGAGUAGUCUCUCCGGGCCCUGCCGUGGUAAGCUACAGCCCUGUUUCUCCCCACACUACCCAGCUGAGUAGUCUCUCCGGGCCCUGCCGUGGUGAGCUACAGCCCUGUUUCUCCCCACACUACCCAGCUGAGUAGUCUCUCCGGGCCCUGCCGUGGUAAGCUACAGCCCUGUUUCUCCCCACACUACCCAGCUGAGUAGUCUCUCCGGGCCCUGCCGUGGUAAGCUACAGCCCUGUUUCUCCCCACACUACCCAGCUGAGUAGUCUCUCCGGGCCCUGCCGUGGUAAGCUACAGCCCUGUUUCUCCCCACACUACCCAGCUGAGUAGUCUCUCCGGGCCCUGCCGUGGUGAGCUACAGCCCUGUUUCUCCCCACACUACCCAGCUGAGUAGUCUCUCCGGGCCCUGCCGUGGUGAGCUACAGCCCUGUUUCUCCCCACACUACCCAGCUGAGUAGUCUCUCCGGGCCCUGCCGUGGUGAGCUACAGCCCUGUUUCUCCCCACACUACCCAGCUGAGUAGCCUCUCCGGGCCCUGCGCCCCCAUGGUCCACACAUAUUAUAACUGCUAUGCUUUGACUGCUGCUCAUAUCCGCUUACGUUUUAAGGAGUGAUCACUCUGUUGGUACCUUGUCAAUCUCUUAAUAAAAAAUGUUUUUUUGUAAA